UAAACGCGUCGUUUUUUAUUUCAAUGGUGGAACCAUUAUUCUUCUCCACCGGCGGGAUGUAGGCUCUAAGUCUAGGGUUUCGAUUCAUCUUCUUCCUCAGACCCUGAUUUUAAUCAGUUUCACCUUCGUCUUCUUAAAGGCCUCCUUGAUUCAAUCAUACACGAUCUACAUUUAUUUCUGCUUCUCUCUUGCAAGGCGGUGGAAAUCUCAGUAUAAAAAGGAAGGACCAAGAAAAACAAAGCAACAACAAUUAACCAAAUAUGGAUAAGCACUGCAAAUGGAACAAGAAGAAACAGAGGCACUCCAGAACCGCAUGAAACUAUAUGUACCUUUCUUACGGGUUUUGAUUGUUGUAAUCUUUCAUCUUUUGAUGAUCUGUAGUGGAUCAUAUCUUUAGUUUUGGAUAGGCUUUGGUGUUAAUUGUUAAAUCGUUUGUUUCUAACAUUGUCUCUCUUCCGAGAUUUGUCCUCUUCUCUUUUUCCCGAGUUACAGUGAUUUUGCAAUUAAUCUGGUUAAUGUUUAGCGAAAAGCUUUUGUUCUAUUUGAGACCGUUAGGAUUUAUUUCUUAGAGUCACAGAAAACCACUGCUCUACUUUGUCUUCUUCGCCUGUGACCUUUUAACCUUUCAACUUCGUAGGAGUUCGUCGCGUUGGAGCAUCUCAGAAUCACAGAUCGUUGUUUGAUUAUAUCUACUGCUGUCAGGCCGCGAGUAUGUGGAGCUUGCAGUGCCAUGACACUUAGCUUCUCACUUUUUCACACUUAGUUUCAAAAAGAAAAAAAAAAGAAGAUUGUGUUUAGCGGUUCAAAUGAAGUCUUGACUUCUCGGAUGAGUUGAUAAGGAAGAUGGAGCUUAGAAGCCUCCGUAGUUACUGAGCCUGCUGUUAGUAGACGACCCUAUUGUUGGGGAAUUGUCCCGAGUGUACGCACUGCAAUGAUUUUAUAUAUGUUAGAUUUUUAUAGGAACAUGCUCAUUAGCAUGAAAAUAAUGAGAAGGGGACAAAUAUAAAUUCAAGUGUAAAUUCCGGUAGAAAAUAUAUUAUAUUAUCUCCACUGAAGAAAUAAAAUAAUAUCAUAUUGUUGGUGGAAGUUA